UGGGGAAUUUUGGACAAUGGGGGAAACCCUGAUCCAGCCACCCCGCGUGUGCGAUGAAGGCCUUCGGGUUGUAAAGCACUUUUGGCAGGAAAGAAACGUCGCGGGUUAAUACCCCGCGAAACUGACGGUACCUGCAGAAUAAGCACCGGCUAACUACGUGCCAGCAGCCGCGGUAAUACGUAGGGUGCAAGCGUUAAUCGGAAUUACUGGGCGUAAAGCGUGCGCAGGCGGUUCGGAAAGAAAGAUGUGAAAUCCCAGAGCUUAACUUUGGAACUGCAUUUUUAACUACCGGGCUAGAGUGUGUCAGAGGGAGGUGGAAUUCCGCGUGUAGCAGUGAAAUGCGUAGAUAUGCGGAGGAACACCGAUGGCGAAGGCAGCCUCCUGGGAUAACACUGACGCUCAUGCACGAAAGCGUGGGGAGCAAACAGGAUUAGAUACCCUGGUAGUCCACGCCCUAAACGAUGUCAACUAGCUGUUGGGGCCUUCGGGCCUUGGUAGCGCAGCUAACGCGUGAAGUUGACCGCCUGGGGAGUACGGUCGCAAGAUUAAAACUCAAAUGAAUUGAC
rnacentral:rRNA from 1 species